AGUGGGCUUUGUUGGCUGUUGCAAAUUGGCUUCCCUGAGAGCAGACUCUGAAACAAGGAUGAGCACACAGGGAGCAUCUGAUGAGUGCUCUGCAUCAGCACCUAUAGGCCUAGGACAAGAAGCCAGACUAAUUCUGGGGCCCGGGGAGUCCAUUUCAAAAUGCUGGCAUCUGAUGAGGGCCUUUUUUUCUGAAUCAUUUUUGGCAGAAGGCAGAAGGACAAGAUAGGUGGCACUAUUAUAAUUUAUUCUCAUGAGGAAAAACAUUGUUUUUGAUGUACAACCAUGGAAGAAGGGAUGCUGUUUCUUAUUUAAGCACCUGCAUUGGCUCUCUGAGGAUCAUGUACCCAUGACUGAGACUCCAGCCUUGCCACUCAUGAUGAUUGUGUUUUACUUGAAUCUGUCAGUUAAGUGCUACCACCUGGCUUCUGUAAUUUCAGUUUUGUAUAAUCUUUAU